rnacentral:tRNA from 1 species
GCGGAUGUGGUGGAAUUGGUAGACACGCUGGUUUUAGGAGCCAGUGCCGCAAGGCGUGAAGGUUCAAGUCCUUUCAUCCGCACCA